AAGAGGCCACAUCAAGGGGAGGGGGAGAAGGGGAAGCGGAGGGGGGGGAAAAAUCCAGAAGGGGUUUGUUUUUUUUUUUUCUUAAGAUCCUCUUCCUUUAAAAAAGAAAAAAAAAAAGUGCACGGGGAAAAAAAGAGCAGCCACCAGGAAAAAAACUAGAGAAGAUUCACUCAUUGUUGCCACAAAGACACCUCUCCCCUUCCCACUCCCUCUCCAUGCUCAUUCCUCCAACAGUGCUACAAAGACGUGCAGUCUGCGCCGGGAGUUGCUGAGCCCGAGCCGUGAGCUCCUCAACUCCGCGGGGGCCGUGCCAGGAGACCCGGGGCUCAAGAGUCCUCCGAGAGUAGGUGUGGGAGAUUGGGCAGUGUUGUCAUGGAUUUCAUACUAGAAAUUUCAAGUUAAAAAAUGAGCUGGAAGACAACAGUGGUGCGGAAUAUGAGAGGAAGGUUUGGGAGGAAGAAAACAAAACUGACCGUGUGGACUAAUGAAAGGUCAGUGAAAUUUCAAAUGGCAAGCAAAUAUCAAACAUGAAUCAAUAAAGAUUUCCUUCAGUGUG